rnacentral:rRNA from 1 species
UACGUAGGGUCCGAGCGUUGUCCGGAAUUAUUGGGCGUAAAGAGCUCGUAGGCGGUUUGUCGCGUCUGCUGUGAAAUCCCGAGGCUCAACCUCGGGCCUGCAGUGGGUACGGGCAGACUGGAGUGCGGUAGGGGAGAAUGGAAUUCCUGGUGUAGCGGUGGAAUGCGCAGAUAUCAGGAGGAACACCGAUUGCGAAGGCAGCUCGCUGGGACGUAACUGACGCUGAGACGCGAAAGCGUGGGGAGCAAACAGG